UCUGUCGGCUUGGAAAGAGGACGGCAGGGAGAGCCGACAUCAGAUGUCUGUUCUGGCAUCUGAUGCUCCUCAUCCACCCUGCUGCAUAUUCUGAGCACUUUCAGGAUUAAUUUUUUUUGUUAUUGUUUUUCACCCCCAAGAUUGAAUCCCGUUUCCAAUGAGCUGAACCAACAGAGCCAUGUGGCAGCAUCUCCCAUGCCUGGGAUGGCAGCGAUACACCUUGGUUACACAAGAAAAGGGCCGUUUCCAUUUGCAAUGCAUUCUGAAGUCCUCACCCUCAGAAGGCACAGAGCAUCUGUCUGCUUUGAGGGAACAGCUGUGCAUCCAUUUUGGAUAGCUUGGGGUGGGGCUACCGGCGGUCUGCACAAAACAAAGCUACCAGGAUCUGUGUUUCUCAGCAGACUCUCAGCCUUGGAAGAUAUUCCCUCAAACACUGCUGGGGAUGCGUUGCUCCUGCUGCCUCCUGGGUCAGUCGUGGAAGCUCUUCCAGGUCUUACCCACAGGAUGUUGGUAUCAGGGCACCUCCCAGACCGUGGCACAAUGGUUUUGAGACUUCUAACUUGGUUUGCUUAACUUCAGGUCUGUGUCAUUCACCCGACGCACAGAGCCUUGCCCUUUUGCCUUCCUGAGGAUCACUGUGACUCUGCUGUCUCCCUGCUCGUGCCAACCUCAGUAUUUUUCCUAAGAUAAAUGUAAGCCAUGUACCUGUCUGUCAGUCACUUCUUCAGGGAUACUGAAUCUAUGAAAAAGAAAAACCCGACCUUAAAUGACAUAUCAUACUAAACUGUCUCAUUACUUCCAAAGUGAGAUGAAAUGCCUUCUCUCUACGUAUUAUUUUUUACCCUAUGUCUCGGUAAUACUCUUCAUUCGUGGAAAUGGUUUUCAGACUGGAAGAUUAUAGACUGGUCAGAACCAAAGAAAAGGAGAGAAAGAUUUACUCCAAUCAUGUCAAAGGGACCUCAGUGAAUAUUAACUGAUAAAGUACACACCGAUCGCAGCACACCCUCAUCGCUCGCCUGUGCAUUUAUCCCACUUGAUGAAUGGGAGCAGUUUAUAGAACAGGCAGAAAUUGAUACGGAAGAGGUUUCUAUCUGGAAUGCACUGUAUAAAUUACUGGAUGCUUAUCUGUGAGUAAUUCGCCUGCAUAUGCUAACUGUCCAGACACUUGCAGCCUAUGGCAAAGACAUUAGAUAACCUUCGAUUCUCAAUUGCUGGGGGCAAUCUCCAUACUAAAUAAAUAGUUCAUCUGUUUUGGACACAAAUGAUGCAUCUGUUUGCAAGCAUCACAAAUUCUGGUCUAGAAAUGGAUACUUACACUAUACAUUAUUUUUUUUUUAAGCUGUCUUUCCUUCCUUUGUGCCUGCAAUUGGUGGCUGCACUUGAUGUAAUUUAGCAGCCCGCUACUCAUGCCUUGCCUGUUUUAUCCAGUGGGUUUCUGAUGCGCCUGUCUGGGUGCCUGUCAGGUGGAUGGACAGUUGAAGACAUGAUUUUUUUAUCUUGCUCCUUCUUGCUAUAUGUGCCCUGCUGAGGGGACAAAAUACUCUUGCUCAUGUAUUUGCCUGCAGUUAGGCAACUUUGCCUAUAGCUCUUUGCUGCUGCAGACCUAUGUGCUGCUCUGAAAAGGAAAUUUUUUUUCUACUGAGCUCUGCAGGCUCGAGACUGGAAUUCACCUGAGCAAGAAGUGAGGCUAGGAUGAAAAUUAAGCACAAGGGUGUAAAGAAAAGUGUUUCCCAUUGCUCAGACAGGUGAAUGACAAAUAUCACUCUCUUUCCAAAAUAACUCCCACUCCCCAGCUUAAUGCAGACAUUGCAUAGUGUUUGUUUGGCACAAGCUGGGUUUAUAGCUCUAUUUUCUAGAAAUAAAAUCGCUGUCUGCCUGAAAGCCAAAGCAGCUUUUGCUUUCCAAAGGAAUUACAUUGGCGCUCACAACCCAUCUCAGUCUGGUGCCAACUGAGUGCAAAUGAACCAGGACAAAAUUGGGUGCAUGGAGAGAAACCUCAGGGCUGCCUAAAGGCUCCAGGCAACUUGCAGAUCAAAACCAGAUGGUCUGGUGGUGCUGCUUCAAGCCCCCAGCCAGAGAUGCCUGUUUUGUGACCACCCAGCUCCUGAGCCAGGGAAAUUUCAGGAGCAAGCUCAGCAGAAGAGUCCACACCAGUCUCCUUGCCAUGGAAUGCACUGGAAAGUAUUAUUAAAACAUAGGUGUAAGACAAUGGCCAGCCAGCAGUAUUUUUUCUGCCUAGCAAGUGGUGCUGAUAAGUGCAAAUUCCCUUGGAAGUUAUCAGAGAAGCCGGCUGUGUUUGUUCGCUGGAUUUGUAUUUCUCAGCUGAAAGAGGUGCUGAUCCCAUGUCUCAUUCUUGGCACUGCCAACAUCCCUGGCAGAAAGCUGUGCUCAAAGCUGCCUGCUGGGAAAUACUCCAUUAAUCAAGUGCUGACAGACCUCCUCGCUACCUCUUCCCAUGACGGUCACACGUGUCAUUUUUGCUCUGGAAAGUCAUUCCUUGCAAUGCUGUGUGGCACAAGAGCAUCACCACGUGAGCAUCACCAGCAUGCCCACUGAACCAUAGGGCAAAGGGACAUCUCAGUGCCACAUCUCCACAGUUCUUGAACAUCUCCAGGGAUGGUGACUUCACCACCUCCCUGGGCAGCUGUGCCACUGCAUCACCACCCUUUCUGAGAAGAAAUUUUUCCUAAUAUCCAAUCUGAAUUCAUCUGUCAGCCGCCAGCUACUCACUCCACAGACCCAGUCAGUGCCACAUCAACCCUUGCAGUAUUGCAUGACUGGGACCUGGGUUGGACAAGCCCUUCUUUGCAUGCAUCCAUCGUGAUUUGCACACAUUUCUUAAGAUGCGUGAGUCCAGGCAGCAUCCAGUGCAGAAAGAAACUGAGAGCAAGUUUCCAUCUCCAUCUCAGCAACACAUCUGUCUCAAAGGAGAGAUUGUCCAGAUGCUAUUUCUGCCUCCUCACAGCUUGUUGCAGCAAGGACUCCCCCACUACCUUUCCCAGAGGACAACAGAGUUGCCUUCACGGUUUUCUAAAUUUGGCUUUAAUGAGUGCAAAAUAAAUAAGGUAGCAGGGGAACAUAAUCUGGUUAACAGAGCAGCAGCAGAAAGCGCAAGCUGUUGGCAUACGGCGAUGGAUUCUGAUUUCCUGCAACGAAUCCAUAGGAGCAUCACAAGGCCUCAAACAGAAACCUCAGUGGUUUGGUGGGGAUAUGGCUGGGCGUGAACCAGGCAGGUAGUCCUUAGUGAUGACAGCAGAGCCGUGUUUGCCUUGGG